UCCGGUUUGUCACCGGCGGUCUCCUUAGAGUUCCCACCAUUACGUGCUGGCAACUAAGGACAAGGGUUGCGCUCGUUGCGGGACUUAACCCAACAUCUCACGACACGAGCUGACGACAGCCAUGCAGCACCUGUGUUCGAGUUCCCGAAGGCACCAAUCCAUCUCUGGAAAGUUCUGUAGAUGUCAAGGCCAGGUAAGGUGGGGAUGACGUAUCCUUCCAUCACA
rnacentral:misc_RNA from 1 species